UACGUAGGUGGCAAGCGUUGUCCGGAUUUACUGGGCGUAAAGAGCGCGCAGGCGGUCGUUCAAGUCGCGUGUGAAAGCCCCCGGCUCAACUGGGGAGGGUCACGCGAUACUGAUCGACUCGAAGGCAGGAGAGGGUAGUGGAAUUCCAGGUGUAGCGGUGAAAUGCGUAGAUAUCUGGAGGAACACCGGUGGCGAAGGCGGCGUCCUGGACCAACACUGACACUGAGGAGCGAAAGCCAGGGGAGCAAACGGG
rnacentral:rRNA from 1 species